CCCCUCUCAAGGUUGCAUCUGGAGAGUUUCCAGUACUCUACCAGUUUUGACUACAGAAGGAAGAGUCAAGCAGAGGCCUACCCGUUGCAGUCCUAGCUUGGGCAGUGGCUAGUGAGGGGAAGGCAAUCUGCUACAAGU